rnacentral:rRNA from 1 species
CCCCUUAGAUGUUCUGGGCCGCACGCGUGCUACACUGAGUGGAUCAGCGGGUCAGGUUGCGCGAAAGUGUUUCCUAAUCUUGAAAUCCGCUCGUGAUGGGGAUUGACGGUUGCAAUUUUCCGUCAUGAACGAGGAAUACCUUGUAAGCGCGGGUCAUCAUCCCGCGCUGAAUACGUCCCUGCCCUUUGUACACACCGCCCGUCGCUCCUACCGAUUGAGUGGUCCGGUGAGGCUUUGGGAUCUGAGCGGAAAGAGCGUUUCGCUGUUUCUGCUCGGAAAACUCAGUCGAACCUUAUCAUUUAGAGGAAGGAGAAGUCGUAACA